rnacentral:rRNA from 1 species
AAUGAACGCUGGCGGCGUGGUUAAGACAUGCAAGUCGAACGGUGUUUCGGGUGUAGCAAUACAUUCGAAACGCAGUGGCGAACGGGUGCGUAACACGUGAACAAUCUACCUCCAAGUGGGGAAUAGCUCGCCGAAAGGCGAAUUAAUACCGCAUACGGUUGAGUCUCUCCUGAGUCUCAUACCAAAGUCGGGGACCGCAA